CCCUUAGAUGUUCUGGGCCGCACGCGCGCUACACUGACGAAUGCAACGAGCUUAUAACCUUGGCCGAAAGGUCUGGGUAAUCUCCAAAUUUCGUCGUGAUGGGGAUAGAUUAUUGCAAUUAUUAAUCUUCAACGAGGAAUGCCUAGUAAGCGCAAGUCAUCAGCAUGCGUUGAUUACGUCCCUGCCCUUUGUACACACCGCCCGUCGCUCCUACCGAUUGAAUGGUCCGGUGAAGCGUUCGGACCGUGGCCUUUGGACGGUUCGCCGUCUGUUGGCUGCGGGAAGUUCGUUAAACCUUAUCAUUUAGAGGAAGGAGAAGUCGUAACA
rnacentral:rRNA from 1 species